rnacentral:rRNA from 1 species
GAUGAACGCUGGCGGCGUGCCUAAUACAUGCAAGUCGAGCGAACAGACGAGGAGCUUGCUCCUCGGACGUUAGCGGCGGACGGGUGAGUAACAGGUGGAUAACCUACCUAUAAGACUGGGAUAACUUCGGGAAACCGGAGCUAAUAUCGGAUAAUAUAUUGAACCGGAGGGUUCAACAGUGAAAGACGGUUUUGAUGUCACUUAUGGAGGGAUCCGUGCCGCAUUAGCUAGUUGGUAAGGUAACGGCUUACCAAGGCAACGAUGCGUAGCCGACCUGAGAGGGUGAGCGCCCACACUGGAACUGAGACACGGCCCAGACUCCUACGGGAGGCAGCAGUAGGGAAUCUUCCGCAAAGGGCGAAAGCCUGACGCAGCAACGCCGCGUGAGUGAUGAAGGCCUUCGGAUCGUAAAACUCUGUUAGUAGGGAAGAACAAAAGUGUAAGUAACUAUGCACGUCUUGACGGUACCUAAUCAGAAAGCCCCGGCUAACUACGUG